AUUGAACGCUGGCGGCACGCUUAACACAUGCAAGUCGAACGGCAGCAUCAUUUGUACUUGUACAGAUGGAUGGCGAGUGGCGAACGGGUGAGUAAUGCGCAGGAAUAUGCCUUAAAGAGGGGGAUAACUUGGGGAAACUCAAGCUAAUACCGCGUGAACUCUGAGGAGUAAAGCUGGGGACCCAAAAGGGCCUGGCGCUUUAAGAAUAGCCUGCGUCCGAUUAGCUAGUUGGUGGGGUAAAGGCCGUACCAAGGCGAUGAUCGGUAGCUGGUCUGAGAGGAUGGACAGCCACACUGGGACUGAGACACGGCCCAGACUCCUACGGGAGGCAGCAGUGGGGAAUAUUGGACAAUGGGGGGAACCCUGAUCCAGCGAUGCCGCGUGUGUGAAGAAGGCCUGCGGGUUGUAAAGCACUUUCAGUUGGGAAGAUAAUGACGUUACCAACAGAAGAAGCACCGGCUAACUCCGUGCCAGCAGCCGCGGUAAAGC
rnacentral:rRNA from 1 species